rnacentral:misc_RNA from 1 species
AAGUCGUAACAAGGUUUCCGUAGGUGAACCUGCGGAAGGAUCAUUACAGUGUUCCCUGCCCUCACGGGUAGAAACGCCCACCCUUUGUGUAAUAUAUCUUGUUGCUUUGGCGGGCCGCCUUCGGGCACCGGCUUCGGCUGGGUUGCGCCUGCCAGAGGACCCCAAACUCUGAAUGUUAGUGUCGUCUGAGUACUAUAUAAUAGUUAAAACUUUCAACAACGGAUCUCUUGGUUCUG